rnacentral:tRNA from 1 species
GGGCCCGUAGCUCAGCCAGGUAGAGCAUCGGGCUUUUAACCCGAGGGUCACGGGUUCGACUCCCGUCGGGCCCG